rnacentral:lncRNA from 10 species
GUGAAACCCCGUCUCUACUAAAAAGUACCAAAAAAUUAGCUGGGUGUGGUGGUGGGUGCCUGUAAUCCCAACUACUCGAGAGGCUGAGGCAGAAUUGCCUGAGCCCAGGAGGCAGUGAGCCACUUCCCUCCAGCAUAGGUGAAAGAGUGAAACUCUGUCAAAAAAAAAGAAAAAGAAAAGAAAAGAAAGGAAGGAAGGGUUCGCAGAGGUUGCAGUGAGCCACUUCACUCCAGCCUGGGUGAAAGAGUGAAACUCUGUCAAAAAGAAAGGAAAGAGGAGGGGAAGGGAGAAGGAGGAAGGAAGAGAGAAAGAAAAAAAGAGCCAGAGCUUGAGCUAAGCCUUCAGAUGGGCUGUGGCAGGAAGGAAGGAAGGAGGGAGAAAGAAAAAAAGAGCCAGAGCUUGGGCUAAGCCUUCAGAUGGGCUGUGGCUGGAAGGAAGGAAGGAAGGAAAGGAGAAAGAAAAAAAGAGACGGGAGGGAGGGAGGGAGGAAGGAAGGAAGGAAGGAAGGAAGGAAGGAAGGAAGGAAGAAAGAAAGAGAAAAAAAGAGCCAGAGCUUGCGUUAAGCCUUCAGAUGGGCUGUGGCUCAGCUGAGACCCGGUCAAUGCUGGAGGCAGCCCUGAACCUUCCCGGUUUCAGCCCCCAAACCCUUGGGGCCUGUGUGUGGUCCCAGGGCCCCGGAUACGCGAGCCUGGAUGUGUGGCGCCGAGUUGUUUACAGAAAACUCUCCGUGAGGGAACGAGGCCUAUUUUCAAUGAUAAAUGCCCCAAAUCACAAGUAGUUCAACCCCCAAGUCUGAAUUCUCCCAAACUGGAGAAAUCGGCUUAUUUCCAAUAACAAGCUCCAGGCUCAGGGGAGGCCAGCCCAGCCGCGCAGGUGAAGCUGCAAUUAGUGCAGGGCAAUUAGGGACGCUCCCCGUUCGGGUGGGGCCUGGCCCACGGCGGCGCUUCGGGAGGGAAAGGCAGAGAGGGUGUGCGCCAGCCCCAGCCGCCCACGAACCGCUGGGAGCAGACCCCUCUCUCUGGCCUGGAGGGGACACGGUGCCACUGACUUGAGCCUGGAACCAAAGGGCGGGGUACCCAUGCACCCCUGUGCUGAGAGAUUCGCUGAGAGCCGCGCAGAGGGCCCCAGAGUCCAAACAGGACACCCAGGAUUGAGGCGAGGUUAGGAAACGCACAGUACCUGAGGUCCUCACUUUCAGGGCUCCCUGAGUGAUGAAAGGGGGGCUGGGAGAAGGCAGAGGCUGCCCGGGAGAGAAGAGCAGCUUUGGGGGGUUCUGGGUCCCCGCACCCCACCCCGCACUAACCAACUCCCCCAGCCCCAGAUAGAAGGGGAGCUGGGCAGGUUCUGGGGGGUCAGCCCCAGGCAGGACCGCUCCCCAACACCCUUCCCUUGGUUACCCUCAGGUAUGGAGUCCAGAGUGGAGUCAGCCAUGCUCAGACCUUGACCCCCUUUUUUUAAAUUUAAUUUUUAGUAGAGAUAGGGGGUCUCACUAUGUUGCCCAGGCUAGCCUCAAACUCCCAAUCUCAAGCGAUCCUCCCCCCUUGGCUUCCAAAGUGCUGAGAUUACGGAUCUGAGCCUCCACGCCUGCCCUGAGCCUCGCCCUGCGGCUGCCUGGGCUCCUCCCCGCCUCCGCCCCGGACCACCAGGGGGCGCUGUGAAGCCUGAGACUGGCCGGGCUUCACCUUGGACCCGCCAGGAGUCCCUGCAGGAGUUGGGAGCCCCGCCAGCCACAGCUACUUCCCCGACCCUCCCGGCUUCCCACCGCUGAUUGGACCAGGCAUGGGCAUCUGACUGAGGGGAGCCUAUCCAUAGGCUGGCCAGUGAUCUAUCAGGGCUGGCCUAGUGAGAACACGGCCAAUCAGAUGCUUUCCUGGAACCCGGGGCCAAAGCUGCCCCAGGGGAGUGUGGUAGCCGCAGGCAGAAGGGCUAGCCCGGAGACAGGAGGGGGAGGUCCGAGGAGGGGAUCCCGGCGAGGGAGACGCGGGGCGAGUGGCCUGGGCUCCUCCUUGGCUUGACCCAGCUUAGACUUUCUCAAACCGAAGUCAUUCUCGCUGGCUCCUGGCGACUCUCAUCCUGUCCGCUGUCACCCUUUCGUGAUUGACCUGAAAUCACUUCGUCACUGCAGCCGCACCCUAAGCAUUCAUCUCAUAUCUGUGAUGUUUGCUGUGCUCCUUAUGUUUGCUCUAAUAUGGGUUAAACCAAAUUCAACACCAUCAAAAUAAUGUUCUUCCAUUUGCACACCCACUUUCACAGUAGCAGCGUUCCCAACAGCCAAAAGGUGGGAGCAGCCCACGGGUCCACGGACGGGUGAAGGGGUGAGCAAACAGUCUAUACGGACAGUGGAGAGCUCUUUAACCGCAGAAAGAAGGAAAUUCUGCAUAUGCUGCAACAUGGAUGAAAGACACAGAGUCUGGCUCUGGGGCCCAGGCUUGAGUGCAGUGGUGAGACGGGAGAAUAAGUCCUAGAGGAAGGGAACCUGAGGACUUCCCAGAACUAAAUCAGAUGGAGAGGAGAGAGGAGGCAUUUCAGCUACGACAGGAAAUAUCCUCUUCAUUUGCAUAGGGCGUUCACCAAGGUGCACACCAAAUAACCAAUGGAAACCUCUAGAGAGUAUUUAAACUCCAGAAAAUUCUGUGACGGGCUCUUGAGCCAACGUGCUCCGGCCGCUCCCACUCUGUGCAGUCGACUGUACUUUUGUUUUCAAUAAAACUCUGCUU